GUGUCAGCCGCCGCGGUAAUACGUAGGUGGCAAGCGUUGUCCGGAAUUACUGGGCGUAAAGCGCGCGUAGGCGGUUUCUUAAGUCUGAUGUGAAAGCCCACGGCUUAACCGUGGAGGGUCAUUGGAUACUGGGAGACUUGAGUGCAGAAGAGGAAAGUGGAAUUCCAGGUGGAGCGGUGAAAUGCGUAGAGAUUUGAGGGAACACCAGUGGCGAAGGCGACUUUCUGGUC
rnacentral:rRNA from 1 species